GUUUGAUCCUGGCUCAGAUUGAACGCUGGCGGCAUGCCUUACACAUGCAAGUCGAACGGCAGCACGGGAGCAAUCCUGGUGGCGAGUGGCGAACGGGUGAGUAAUAUAUCGGAACGUGCCCAGUAGUGGGGGAUAACUGCUCGAAAGAGCAGCUAAUACCGCAUACGACCUGAGGGUGAAAGGGGGGGAUCGCAAGACCUCUCGCUAUUGGAGCGGCCGAUAUCAGAUUAGCUAGUUGGUGGGUAAAGGCCUACCAAGGCAACGAUCUGUAGUUGGUCUGAGAGGACGACCAGCCACACUGGGACUGAGACACGGCCCAGACUCCUACGGGAGGCAGCAGUGGGGAAUUUUGGACAAUGGGCGCAAGCCUGAUCCAGCAAUGCCGCGUGCAGGAAGAAGGCCUCGGUU
rnacentral:rRNA from 1 species